CACGUAGGGCGCGAGCGUUGUCCGGAAUUAUUGGGCGUAAAGAGCUCGUAGGCGGCCUGUUGCGUCCGCUGUGAAAGCCCGGGGCUUAACCCCGGGUCGCAGUGGAUACGGGCAGGCUAGAGGUAGGUAGGGGAGAAUGGAAUUCCCGGUGUAGCGGUGAAAUGCGCAGAUAUCGGGAGGAACACCGGUGGCGAAGGCGGUUCUCUGGGCUGUAACUGACGCUGAGGAGCGAAAGCAUGGGGAGCGAACAGG
rnacentral:rRNA from 1 species